UACGUAGGGGGGCGAGCGUUUGUCCGGAAUUAUUGGGCGUAAAGAGCUCGUAGGCGGUUUGUCGCGUCUGCUGUGAAAACCUAAGGCUCAACCUUGGGCUUGCAGUGGGUACGGGCAGACUAGAGUGCGGUAGGGGUGACUGGAAUUCCUGGUGUAGCGGUGGAAUGCGCAGAUAUCAGGAGGAACACCGAUGGCGAAGGCAGGUCACUGGGCCGCAACUGACGCU
rnacentral:rRNA from 1 species